GACAGUGGACCCACGAUCAUGGAAUUCACUGUUCAAACCAUGUCCCCAUAUCCUGAAGCAGCUGGCUUGACAGAAAAGAAAAGUGGUAUUUGAAGUCUCAGAAGCAGGUAAUUUAUAAUGCUGGUAAACACCGCCCUAAAAAAAUGAUCUUAGAGAGAGAGAGCACCAACAAUAUCAAAGAGAUCUUAAAAACAGAAUGUUUAAGAGUCACAUGCAACACACAAGCAAUUUAUUGUCAAGAUUUCUUUCAAAAAGAGAAGAAAGGAAAGGCAUUUUUAGCAAAACUGUCUUUAAAAUUUUCCAAACUUAAAACACUUGUACAGAAGUUGCUCCAUAUCAUGAAAAUGGGAGUUCAUA